CCAUAACAUAAAUAUUUGGGUUAAUAUACACCAGUAACUCUGCCCAGUGGGAAGUUUGCUUUCCAUUCAUGUCCAUAUUAACCUUCCUCACACAGACUGAUGUGCAUCAACUCCUCACUUUGUUUUGUUGCUUUUAGGAGCAGUUCUGGAUAACCUGGUGUCUUGGUUUGGAAAGACAGGUGUCUGCUAAGGAAGGCAAGAGCCUCUCCUGAAAUGGAAACAUGUUGCAGCAAUGGAUGCAAGUGAUACCAGAAACAGUAUUGGUGAUAGCAGUGACUUGCCAAGAUCCCCUGGAAAGACAUCUAUCAGUGCUUUUUUCUGUAAGCUGGCUCUUCACCCUAUGUACACAGCAGACAAGAAACCCAGAAAAGAGGUUUCAAAGCAGUCUAAAUCUGUGUCGGAAAGGUAACACUGGUGUGUGUUGUGUCAAGUGAACUUUCAUUAAUAAAAAGAGCAGUAUUGUGUAUGUGUGUUGCUGA
rnacentral:lncRNA from 1 species